CUUCAUGCAAUUCCACUCUCGAUUUGCAUCACUCUUCUUAUUGCUAUCAAUGGAGAAGCUGUCACUCCUAGAGAAACACUUGAGAUAAUCAUAGGUGGUGGUGGUGCCUCUCCAUUGCCACCAGCCCCCGAAUAUCAAGAUUGUCCCCCUCCUCCUCCACCUCCAUGUCCGCCACCACCAUCACCAAAACCGCCAUCACGGAAACCACCACCUCCUCCGUCACCAAGUCCAUCACCACCACCACCACGUCCACCAAAACCAUCACCACCAGGUGGUUUCUUCGAUGGUUUCGCCAACAUGCUACAACAAAGAGACUUUAAAGUAAUCCAAGCCUUCAAAAACAAAGUGACAAGAGAUCCCACAGGAAUGACGAAAACAUGGAAAGGCAAGAAAAUUUGCGAUUACCAAGGGUUCAUUUGCGACACAGUACCGGAUGUUAAACUAAGGGGCAUC
rnacentral:lncRNA from 1 species